UGUCACUGGCGAUGGGCAAAAAGAAACCUUUGGUGAUGUUCUUCUAUCAGUCAGGGGCAGAGCAGAUGGCAGUCCUUUGUUCAUCCUAGCUUGAUGCCUGGCUUGGUGGCCAAAACUGUCAUAUGCCUAGGACUCAUAA